GGGCCUCUUGCCAUCAGAUGUGCCCAGAUGGGAUUAGCUAGUAGGUGGGGUAAUGGCUCACCUAGGCGACGAUCCCUAGCUGGUCUGAGAGGAUGACCAGCCACACUGGAACUGAGACACGGUCCAGACUCCUACGGGAGGCAGCAGUGGGGAAUAUUGCACAAUGGGCGCAAGCCUGAUGCACAUGCCGCGUGUGUGAAGAAGGCCUUCGGGUUGUAAACUUUCAGCGAGGAGGAAGGUGGUGAGCUUAAUACGUUCAUCAAUUGACGUUACUCGCAGAAGAAGCACCGGCUAACUCCGUGCCAGCAGCCGCGGUAAUACGGAGGGUGCAAGCGUUAAUCGGAAUUACUGGGCGUAAAGCGCACGCAGGCGGUUUGUUAAGUCAGAUGUGAAAUCCCCGGGCUCAACCUGGGAACUGCAUUUGAAACUGGCAAGCUAGAGUCUCGUAGAGGGGGGUAGAAUUCCAGGUGUAGCGGUGAAAUGCGUAGAGAUCUGGAGGAAUACCGGUGGCGAAGGCGGCCCCCUGGACGAAGACUGACGCUCAGGUGCGAAAGCGUGGGGAGCACAGGAUUAGAUACCCUGGUAGUCCACGCUGUAAACGAUGUCGAUUUGGAGGUUGUGCCCUUGAGGCGUGGCUUCCGGAGCUAACGCGUUAAAUCGACCCUGGGGAGUACGGCCGCAAGGUUAAAACUCAAAUGAAUUGACGGGGGCCCGCACAAGCGGUGGAGCAUGUGGUUUAAUUCGAUGCAACGCGAAGAACCUUACCUACUCUUGACAUCCAGAGAACUUAGCAGAGAUGCUUUGGUGCCUUCGGGAACUCUGAGACAGGUGCUGCAUGGCUGUCGUCAGCUCGUGUUGUGAAAUGUUGGGUUAAGUCCCGCAACGAGCGCAACCCUUAUCCUUUGUUGCCAGCGGUUCGGCCGGGAACUCAAAGGAGACUGCCAGUGAAAGGAAUACCGGUGGCGAAGGCGGCCCCGGACGAA
rnacentral:rRNA from 1 species